rnacentral:lncRNA from 1 species
ACAUAGCAGGAUCCACAGGGGUACCAGAAUGAUAGCGAUGCCACAAGGGAUGAUAAUGGCCAGAGCCCAGCCAGGAAAACCUCCACUUGUGGUAUUGAAAGGAGUGGUCAGCAAAAGAGUAGGAGGUGGUGUGGUAGCUUCUACAGUUGUCGUUGUGGGUGCUGCUGUUGUGGUGGUUGUAGCAGCUAUAUUUGUGGUUGUUGUAGCAGCUUUCGUUGUGGUUGUCGAAGGAGAUGGAGUUGUGGUUGUUGAAGGACCUGCCAUUGUAGUGGUUGUAGGAGCUACAGCUGUUUUAAUUAAUGCAGCAUUAUCAUCUGCAGUUGUAGGAGCUGCAGAUGCAGUUGUAAGAGUUGCAGCUGUAGGAGCUGCAGUUGCACUUGUAGGAGCUGCAGUUAUCAUAGUAGCUGCAAUUGUGGUUGUUCUAAGAGCUGUAGUUGUUGUCGUAGUAGAUGCUGCAGUUGUAGGGGUGGUAGGACCAAUGGUUGUUUUAGUAAGAGCUGAAUUGAUUGUCAUAGCAGCUUUUGUGGUGCUGGUUGAAGGAGCUACAGUUAUUGGAGUAAGAGCUUUAGUUGUUGUUGUAGGUAUGGUAGAUGUAGUGGUUGUAGCCGCAACAGUUGCUGUAGGAGCAACAGAUUUCAUUGUAGGUGCGGCUGAUGUAGGGGUCAUAAGAGCUAAAAAUGUUAUAGUAGGAGGUGCAGUUAUGGUUGUAGCUUUAGCUGCAGUUGUGGUUGUUGUAAGAGCUGCAGUUGUAGUUAUUGUAGCAGGUGCUGCAGUGGUUGUCGAAGUAGGUGCUGAAGUUGUAUUGAUCAUAGGAGCUACAGUUCUUGUUAUGGGUGCUGCUGUUGUAAUGGCCAUAGUAGGUGUUGUGGUUGUCAUAGGGGCUUCAGUUGUAGUUAUUGUAGCAGGUGCUGCAGUGGUUGUCAAAGUAGAUGAUGCAGUUGUAGUGGUCGUAGGAGCUACAGUUGUUGGCGAAGGAGCUACAGAUGUUGUUGUGGUUAUCGUAGGACCUUCAGUUGUCGUUGUAGGUGCUUCUGUUGUUGUGGUCGUACGAUCUAAAGUUGUUGUAGUAGGAGCUGCAGUUGUGGUUGUCAUAGGAACUGCAUUUGUCAUUGUCGUAGUAGGUGCUGCAGUUGUCGUUGUCGUAGUAGGUGCUGCAGUUGUGGUUGUCGUAGUAGCUUUAGUUGUAGUUGUAGAAUGUGUUGCAGUCGUAGUGGUUGUAAGAGCUACAGUUGUUGUAGUAGGAGCUGAAGUGAUUUUUUCAGUAGCUGCUGACGUUGUAGUGGUUGGGGAUAUAUUUGUUGUCAUAGAAGCUACAGUUGUUGUUGUAGGUGCUGCAGUUGUGGUUGUCGUAGCAGCUUCAGUUGUAGUUGUCGUAGCAGGUGCUGCAGUUGUGGUUAUCGUAGGAGCUUCAGUUGUAGUUGUUAAAGUAGGUGCUGCAGUUGUAGUGGUUGUAAGAGCUACAUAUGGUGUAGGAGCGUCAGUUGCAGUUAUUUUAGCAGAUGCUGCAGCGGUUGUCGAAGUAGGUGGUGUAGUUGUGGUCGUAGGAGCUACAGUUGUUGCACUUGGAGCUACAGUUGUGGUUGUCGUAGGAGCUACAGUUGUGGUUGUCGUAGUAGGUGUUGUGGUUGUCGUAGUAGGUGUUGUGGUUGUCGUAGUAGGUGGUGUGGUUGUCGUAGUAGGUGCUGCAGUUGUCGUAGUAGGUGCUGCAGUUGUCGUAAUAGGUGCUGCAAUUGUGGUUGUCGUAGCAGCUUCAGUUAUAAUUGUCGUAGUAGGUGCUGCAGUUGUGGUUAUCAUAGGCGCUUCAGUUGUAGUUGUUGUAGUAUGUGCUGCAGUCGUAGUGGUUGUAAGAGCUACAGUUGUUGUAGUAGGAGCUGAAGUGAUUUUCGCUGUAGCUGCUGACGUUGUAGUGGUUGGGGACAUAUUUGUUGUCGUAAAAGCUACAGUUGUUGUUGUAGGUGCUGCUGUUGUGGUUGUCGUUGUAGGUGCUGCUGUUGUAGUGGUCGUAGUAUCUAAAGUUGUAGUAGGAGUAUCAGUUGCGGUUGUCGUAGGAGCUGCGUUUGUAAUGGUCGUCGUGGGUGCUUCUGUUGUAAUGGUCGUGGGAUCUAAAGUUGUAGUAGGAGCUGCAGAUGUGGUUGUCGUAGGAGCUGCAUUUGUAGUUGUUGUAGUAGGUGCUGCUGUUGUAGUGGUUGUAGGAGCUACAGAUGUUGUAGUUGGAGCUGCAGUUGUGGUUGUCGUAGGAGCUUCAGUUGUCGUUGUUGUAGGAACUGCUGAUGUAGUUGUUGUAAGAGCUGCAGUGGUUGUUGAAGUAGGUGCUGCAGUUGUAGUGGUCAUAGGAGCUACAGAUGAUGUCGUAGGAGCUUCAGUUGUGGUUGUCGUAGUAGGUGUCGUAGUAGGUGUUGUAGUUGUCGUAGUAGGCGCUGAAGUUGUGGUUGUCAUAGCAGCUUCAGUUGUAGUUUUUGUAGCAGGUGCUGCAGUUGUGGUUAUCGUAGGAGCUUCAGUUGUAGUUGUUGAAGUAGGUGCUGCAGUUGUAGUGGUUGUAAGAGCUACAGAUGGUGUUGUAGGAGCAUCAGUUGUAGUUAUUUUAGCAGAUGCAGCGGUUGUCGAAGUAGGUGGUGUAGUUGUGGUCGUAGUUGCUACGGUUGUCGAAGUAGGUGGUGUAGUUGUGGUGGUAGGAGCUACAGUUGUACUUGGAGCUACAGUUGUGGUUGUCGUAGGAGCUACAGUUGUCGUUGUAGGUGCUGCUGUUGUAGUGGUCGUAGUAUCUAAAGUUUUAGUAGGAGUAUCAGUUGCGGUUGUCGU